rnacentral:rRNA from 1 species
GCGGUAACAUUUCUAGCUUGCUAGAAGAUGACGAGCGGCGGACGGGUGAGUAAUACUUAGGAAUCUACCUAGUAGUGGGGGAUAGCUCGGGGAAACUCGAAUUAAUACCGCAUACGACCUACGGGAGAAAGGGGGCAACUUGUUGCUCUCGCUAUUAGAUGAGCCUAAGUCGGAUUAGCUAGAUGGUGGGGUAAAGGCCUACCAUGGCGACGAUCUGUAGCUGGUCUGAGAGGAUGAUCAGCCACACCGGGACUGAGACACGGCCCGGACUCCUACGGGAGGCAGCAGUGGGGAAUAUUGGACAAUGGGGGAAACCCUGAUCCAGCCAUGCCGCGUGUGUGAAGAAGGCCUUUUGGUUGUAAAGCACUUUAAGCAGUGAAGAAGACUCUUCGGUUAAUACCCGGAGACGAUGACAUUAGCUGCAGAAUAAGCACCGGCUAACUCUGUGCCAGCAGCCGCGGUAAUACAGAGGGUGCAAGCGUUAAUCGGAAUUACUGGGCGUAAAGCGAGCGUAGGUGGCUUGAUAAGUCAGAUGUGAAAUCCCCGGGCUUAACCUGGGAACUGCAUCUGAUACUGUCAGGCUAGAGUAGGUGAGAGGAAGGUAGAAUUCCAGGUGUAGCGGUGAAAUGCGUAGAGAUCUGGAGGAAUACCGAUGGCGAAGGCAGCCUUCUGGCAUCAUACUGACACUGAGGCUCGAAAGCGUGGGUAGCAAACAGGAUUAGAUACCCUGGUAGUCCACGCCGUAAACGAUGUCUACUAGUCGUUGGGUCCCUUGAGGACUUAGUGACGCAGCUAACGCAAUAAGUAGACCGCCUGGGGAGUACGGCCGCAAGGUUAAAACUCAGAUGAAUUGACGGGGGCCCGCACAAGCGGUGGAGCAUGUGGUUUAAUUCGAUGCAACGCGAAGAACCUUACCUGGUCUUGACAUAUCUAGAAUCCUGCAGAGAUGCGGGAGUGCCUUCGGGAAUUAGAAUACAGGUGCUGCAUGGCUGUCGUCAGCUCGUGUCGUGAGAUGUUUGGGUUAAGUCCCGCAACGAACGCAACCCUUGUCCUUAGUUACCAGCGGGUUAAGCCGGGAACUCUAAGGAUACUGCCAGUGACAAACUGGGAGGAAGGCGGGGACGACGUCAAGUCAUCAUGGCCCUUACGACCAGG